CUGGAAGGGUUUUUCCUCUAGGGGGGUGCAUUUGGAGAGAAGCAUAAGCGAGUGGGCACAGGAUCAUGAAGCCUCCCCAUGCCCACUCUGCAGCCUGCUCCAGGAAGGCCAUUCUACAUUCAGGGACCCCGGGCCGGAGACUGCAGGCCAAAGAGCUAAGGAGUGGGCCACUCUGGGAUGGAUAUGAGGCACCGGAACCAAACUCAGUGACCAGCAGUCUCCUAAGAGCAGACAUGAAGUGGUGACAGCUUGUAUUUGAUUCUGGGAGAUGUGCACACCAGGGAAAGCCACAGGGAAGAAGAAAAGCUGAAAAGUAACAGAGAAGGCACAGGCACGAGAGUGAGGCCACCGUGGGAAGUGCAGUCACUUAGAACGACUGGGGUGAACAGGACGGGAUCAGCUUCGAGAAGCCAAGAGCUGCUGCUCGACCGUGCAGGACGAAGGUGAGAUGCCGGAGUGGACACACAGAAAACUCCUUGUUAUCAAUGCAGACACACUUCUUCCUGACCCAACACUGCCUGUUGUCAUCUGAGCUUCCAACCUCUAUCCAUGUGCUUUCUCGAAAGGAAAAGUCGGGAUAACCUCACAAAGACACAUACCCAGAGGCCAGAUUACCCCGUUCUUUCUCUUCCGACAUUUCCACAUCUGGUUAUUUAUGGAGUCAUUUACGCGCCUUUGCCUUAGCAGGGGCAAGCCCUAACCACCGGUGACGCCUUCGGUUCCCCUCCACGUGUCCAGUUCUAAGAGAAAAUCACUCAUCACAAUUACACAUGAACUUUCUUGAGGUGAAGAGAGACACACAUUUUUCUGCUUCCCCACCCCCUCCCA